rnacentral:tRNA from 5 species
GCGGGUGUAGUUCAGUGGUAGAAUGCGAGCUUCCCAAGCUUGAGAUGAGGGUUCGAUUCCCUUCACCCGCU